CAUUAUUGAAUAAGCUUGGUUGGGUUGUAGCUGGCCUUCCGGGGCAUGUGCACGCCUAACGGUAGUCUUUUAUCACCUGUGCACCCUUUGUAGACACGGAAUUUCUCGAGGAAACUCGGUUUGAGGACUGUUGUGCGCAAGCCAGCUUUCCUUACACUUUCCGGUCUAUGUUUUUAUAUACCCCUAUUUGUAUGUGUGCAGAAUGUUAUUAAUGGGGCUUCAAUUGCCCUUUAAAUCUAUACAACUUUCAACAACGGAUCUCUUGGCUCUCGCAUCGAUGAAGAACGCAGCGAAAUGCGAUAAGUAAUGUGAAUUGCAGAAUUCAGUGAAUCAUCGAAUCUUUGAACGCACCUUGCGCUCCUUGGUAUUCCGAGGAGCAUGCCUGUUUGAGUGUCAUGAAAUUCUCAACCUUUUUCAGCUUUGUUGUUGAAUGAGGCUUGGAUUGGUGGGGGUUUGCGGGCUUCAAAAGUCAGCUCUCCUUAAAUAUAUUAGCGAGAUCUUUGUUACUUAGCUUUGGUGUGAUAAUUAUCUACGCCAUUGCUUAAGAGUAGCUUGGAAUUAAGAUCUUGCUUCAAAUCGUCUUGUUAGAGACAACUUGUUACAUUGACCU
rnacentral:rRNA from 1 species